GUGGGGAAUCUUGCGCAAUGGGCGAAAGCCUGACGCAGCCAUGCCGCGUGAAUGAUGAAGGUCUUAGGAUUGUAAAAUUCUUUCACCGGGGAUGAUAAUGACGGUACCCGGAGAAGAAGCCCCGGCUAACUUCGUGCCAGCAGCCGCGGUAAUACGAAGGGGGCUAGCGUUGCUCGGAAUUACUGGGCGUAAAGGGCGCGUAGGCGGACAGUUUAGUCAGAGGUGAAAGCCCAGGGCUCAACCUUGGAAUUGCCUUUGAUACUGGCGGUCUUGAGUACGAGAGAGGUGGGUGGAACUCCGAUUGUAGAGGUGAAAUUCGUAGAUAUUCGGAAGAACACCAGUAGCGAAGGCGACUCACUGGCCCGUUACUGACGCUGAGGCGCGAAAGCGUGGGGAGCAAACAGGAUUAGAUACCCGGGUAGUCC
rnacentral:rRNA from 1 species